UACGUAGGGUGCGAGCGUUGUCCGGAAUUAUUGGGCGUAAAGAGCUCGUAGGCGGUGUGUCACGUCGGCCGUGAAAACCUGCAGCUUAACUGCGGGCUUGCGGUUGAUACGGGCGGGCUAGAGUUCGGUAGGGGAGACUGGAAUUCCUGGUGUAGCGGUGGAAUGCGCAGAUAUCAGGAGGAACACCGGUGGCGAAGGCGGGUCUCUGGGCAGUAACUGACGCUGAGGAGCGAAAGCGUGGGGAGCGAACAGG
rnacentral:rRNA from 1 species